rnacentral:ncRNA from 1 species
GUUAAGUUUUAUUCUUGCUUUUUCAUUCAGUUUUUAUUUGUUCUAUAUGUAAGUUUGUGCGUGAGUUGUGUUGUGAUUCUAGAUGGAUUACUCUGUUGUUUGGGCUUAAAAGGGGGCCUAGAAUAAUCCUCAUUAGUUAUUUUUAGUUGAUCAAGUAUUCUUGUAUUUAGCAAUAUAUUUUAGUUUCGGUUAAAUUUUGUGCCAGCAGCCGCGGUUAUACCUUGGAGGCAUUUGAAUGUGUUCGGCAUUUGGUAGUUACAUUAUUGGUUCGUUUAUGUUAGAUUUUGCUUUGAUGGUUUUUAGGUGAAAUUUUUACUUUUGUUGUCUUUCUUUUGUUUGUUUGGAGGCUAUGAAAUUCUUUUUAUAGACUAGGAUUAGAUACCCUAUUAUUUUAGAAUGUUAAAUUUUUGUGUCUGAGUAGUAUUAGUUAUGUUCUUGAAACUUAAAGAAUUUGGCGGUAUCUCAUUCCUUCCAGAGGAAUCUGUCUCGUUAUCGAUAGUCCGCGUUGGACCUUACUUAGUUGCUUUGGUUUGUAUACCGCCGUUUAUUGAUUAUCUUUUUAGGGUUAGUUUAAUUUUCUGGUUUCUUUAUUUUGUUUUAUUUCAGGUCAAGGUGCAGCUUGUUUCUAAGUGAAUGAUGGAUUACACUGUAAUUUGUUUAUUGGAUUGUUGAUUUUAAUAUUGGCAUGAAAUUGGAUUUGGUUGUAAUGAUUUGUAGUUUGUUAUUGUGAUAGUUGGUUCUGAGAUAUGUACACAUCGCCCGUCGCUCUCGUUUGUUGUUAAUGAGAUAAGUCGUAACAAAGUGGCUGUACCGGAAGGUGCAGCUGGGUUGAAUUAA